rnacentral:lncRNA from 1 species
UUGGCUCCUAGGAAUUCAAUGUUACUCUCAGAAUGGGAGUAAAUAACUGAGGAGGAGAGUGUCGGUGGGAGAUAGAUGCUUCAUCUUGAGGCCUGUAGCAUGAGCCCAGAGAGGGAUGGAGGGAAUCUCAAGGCUGAAGUGGUCUUAAAGAAGGGAGAUGGGAUGCUGCCGGGAAUGUGGGAUGCUGUCGGGGAGGCAGGAUGCUCUUGAGAAUGUGGGAUGCUGUUGGGGAGGCAGGAUGCUGGUGGGGAGGCAGGCAAGGCGGGAUGCCAUUGGGAAGGCGGGAUGCCGUCGGGGAGGCGGGAUGCCGUCGGGGAGGGUGGAUGCCGUCGGGGAGGCGGGAUGCUGUCAGGGAGGCGGGAUGCCAUUGGGGAGGUGGGAUGCUGUCGGGGAGGUGGGAUGCUGUUGGGGAAGCGAGAUGAUUUUGCAGAGGCAGGAUGCUGUUGGGGAGGCGGGAUGCUUUUCUCACUCUGGCUGUCCCUGUACACCAGGGCACUGUCUCUGCCCAGUGCUC